rnacentral:rRNA from 1 species
UGCAGAAUCCCGUGAACCAUCGAGUCUUUGAACGCAAGUUGCGCCCGAAGCCUUUAGGCCGAGGGCACGUCUGCCUGGGCGUCACGC